rnacentral:rRNA from 1 species
GAUGAACGCUAGCUACAGGCUUAACACAUGCAAGUCGAGGGGUAACGAGAGGAAAGCUUGCUUUCCUUGUCGACGACCGGCGCACGGGUGAGUAACGCGUAUCCAACCUGCCCACAACUAGAGAAUAACCUUGCGAAAGUAAGACUAAUGCUCUAUAAUUUCCUUAGAUGGCAUCUGACGAGGAAUAAAGAUUUAUCGGUUAUGGAUGGGGAUGCGUCUGAUUAGCUUGUUGGCGGGGUAACGGCCCACCAAGGCAACGAUCAGUAGGGGUUCUGAGAGGAAGGUCCCCCACAUUGGAACUGAGACACGGUCCAAACUCCUACGGGAGGCAGCAGUGAGGAAUAUUGGUCAAUGGGCGAAAGCCUGAACCAGCCAAGUAGCGUGCAGGAUGACGGCCCUAUGGGUUGUAAACUGCUUUUAUACAGGGAUAAAGUUAGCCACGUGUGGCUAUUUGCAGGUACUGUAUGAAUAAGGACCGGCUAAUUCCGUG